rnacentral:rRNA from 1 species
CCAAUAGCGUAUAUUAAAGUUGUUGCAGUUAAAAAGCUCGUAGUUGAAUUUCGGGGUUAGUAGGUUGGUCAUGCCUCUGGUAUGUACUGGUCUCACUGAUUCCUCCUUCCUGAUGAACCUUAAUGCCAUUAAUUUGGUGUUUUGGGGAAUUUGGACUGUUACUUUGAAAAAAUUAGAGUGUUUAAAGCAAGCUAACGCUUGAAUACAUUAGCAUGGAAUAAUGAAAUAGGACGUUCGAUCCUAUUUUGUUGGUUUCUAGGAUUGACGUAAUGAUUAAUA